CAUUAUCCAAGCAUCUCUCCAAAGUGAUGCUAUUGGUGUCUCUUGAGAAGGUCUGAGAUUAGCAACAGUUGCUAAUAUAAGGCCACAUAUGUACAGGUGACAGCUUUACUAUCUAGAACAGUGGAGGAUUUUUCCUACCUUACAUAGAGGAUUGAUCCACCAAACAAAUUUCAAGAAAUAAAGCUUCUAUACAUGGGAAAGUGACCUAGUGUGCAGCCUGAAAAUUAAGUGUCAUGAGAAGACUCACCAGCAGCUCAGUACUACAGGAAAAUCUGGUCUUCAGCCAGAUAACCCACUGCUUUAAGCCAACCCAGGUCUCCAAAAGAAGGGGUGAGGAAGUGAAAACCAGAAUAUUUGUUACGCAAGGACCAGUGCUCCUGACCCCUGAUUUUAUUCAGGAAGUGAAGCUAGUAGUGUUAAUUACUGGUGUUCUGAAAGGCCUUGCAACACAUGCAGUCUUCUGACCAGACUGAUGCUCAAAGAGCACCAAUUGUAGCACUGGGGAUAUGCAAGUACAUAGAACAGUUCAGUUGGAUUCUCCUGAAUGCCUUUAUUAGUUUUACUUUAAAUUUGACUCACAAGGAGGAAUUGAAUCUUGUUAAAGAGUCAUUUCUAUACCACAUGGCUGAUACAAAACCACCACUAAGCCAGUCUGGAUAUGUUGAUUACAGACUUAGCUAAUGUACUCCCAUGGGAUUCUGCAGUGAAGGCAUAGCACACCAUUGGAAA